rnacentral:lncRNA from 1 species
CAGGAGGGCCUGGCAAAGAGAAAGCCUCAAUGAUGUUAACUGUCAUCGUGAUGAUUGUUUUGGGGACCUCUCUGCUUGCCCUGCUGCCUGGACGGCAUUUUCCAUUCAUGGCGGGGGAUUUAUUGUUAUGUUAAUUUGCAUUUGUUCUCCCCUCCAAGUCCUAUGUUGAACAAAUGUGGGAAGGGCAUUGGGAGGUGACCAAUCAGCAGUUUGUGCCUCAUGUUGGAUGAGAUUCUCCACCCACUGUGUGAAGUUGGGAAUGUUAGUUCAUGAGUCUAGGUUUCUUUAUCUGUGAAAUGGGAAGAGACCUCAUGGUGCUUUUGUGAAGACCGAGUGAGAGAAUGUGUAUACAAUGUCAGUACCAAUAAUAUUUAUGGGCUGAUUACUGACUGGCAGGUGAGUGAUUUGUCUGAAAUGGAAGGAGUGGUCCCAAUAGGAAGGCUUCCUGGGGGCAGCCAACCUGAGCUCCCAGGCCCCACACAGGCUCUGACACCAUGGAGGCAUGCUCAGAGGCAGCUUCACCUACCCACUGUUCCCCUGGGCCUGGACCACACUGAGGAAGCGCUGGCUCCAAGGGGUCCCUGGCUUGAUUGAGGUCACAGCCCUGGGAGUGGCCUCCAUCCUUGCCCAAAACCAGCAGGGCUGGAGGGGAACCUGGUAUAGUGGGGCUUAAAUCACAGCAGUGCUGACUAGGUUUUAAGUAAGAUUUCCUUCUAAGUAAGUAAUUCUGUUUCUUAGAAGGAGGAGGGACCCCAGAGCCAUGCAAGCAGCUCAUCGUGUUUAAGCCUUCCGUCCCUCCUCCUCCAUCCCUCCUUGCGCUAAGGCCCUGCAGCUGUGGAAACUGUGGCUCAGCCCAGGCUGUGUCAGCUUUGGGACUGGGUUUGGAGGAGAUGGAAGAAAGGUUUCUGAAGCCAAGUCCUUCUCCAGGAGCACUCUGGAAGCUGCUGUGCCUCUCUCUCUUCCCUCCCUCUCUUCCCUGCUGCUUUUACUCAUUCAUUCAUUUGUUCCUUCAUUCACAGAGCCUUCUCUGACUCAUCUCCUCACUCAGUCACUUGUCCAUCCAUCCUCCCAUCAUGCCCUCGGCAUUCACUGACCACUUACCAGGUGUCAGCUGACUUCUAGCUCCUGGGGCAGCAUCAAUGAAUCAGCGAGUGCACUUGCGGUUCACAAUGUGCUGUCCUGUUCAUGGUCCCCUGUGCCCUGCACAUCAGCUCUUAGAGGCAGGCAGUCCAGGUUCAAGUCCAUCCUGAUUCCCAAGUAUAAGCUCUUUCCACCACACCACACUGUUCUCUGAUGGGUCUGCCUCUGUGGUGUCAUUGGAUUCAUCUUUCUGUUCCCUCCCCCAUGCCUUGUUCUGGCCUACUUCUGCCUUUACUGCCUUUCCUGAUAGCCUCCUCCUAACUGCCCUUGCCCUUUCCUAAUCUGUCUUAUGUGUGGCUGCCAGACUAUUGUUCCAGUCUGACUAUGACAUUGUCCUGCUCAAAAACCUUUAAUGGCUCCCCAUUGCUUGCCAAAUAAAGCCCAAACUUUUAAUCUUGGCAUCCAAGGCACUCAACUUGUUGUCUUUAAUUGAUUUCUCUGGUCUUUUGUUUGUCUUUUCCCAUUCAUGCACACUACCCUUCAGAAAAAUGGGAUCAUUUUCUCCUGCUAACAAAAUCAUUGGAUUUCCUACCAAAACACCUGAGGUGUUUGCUUAUGCAUUUUCCUCUGCUUGUGAUGUUCACCCUGCCAUGGCCACACCGUGUCCACAGGUCCAAAUCCUGCCCAUAUGAAAGGUCAUGUUUAAGUGCCACUUGCUCCUGCCUCUCCCCCAGUUGGAGCCAUCUCUCUGUUCUCUGGGUUCCCAAAGUACUUGAGCCUCACAGCAUGGCUAUUUAUGGACAUGCCUUGUUCCCUCUUCUAGACUGGGAGUUCCUUUGGGGUAGGGUCCCUGGCCUGGUCAUUUCUGCAUCCUUGAGCCCAUGGACAAAGCUGUGCAUGCAGCAGUUAUUUGAUUAUUUCUGUGCUCUUAGUCUUCCACCGCCCAGAGAUACUCCUCUCCCAGAAAGGCAGCUGUGGGGGCAGUGAAGGUGGGUGGCUGGUGGCCUCAAUUCUGGGCAGAUAGACCUAGGCUGACUCCAUAACUCGCUGUGACAUUGGGUAAUUUACUUAACUGCUCCAACCUCAGUUGCCCCAUCUGUAUAAAGGCAGAUAUUGAUAUUGGUGCUUUCAUCAUCUUAUUGAGAGGAUGGUGUGGGAGAAUGCGUAUCCCCUAAACAUAGCACCUGCCACUCUCAAUAAACAUUAGUACUUGUUAUCAGUUCUAAUCCCAUCAUUAGCAGCUCUGCAGCCUUGGCAAAUAAAUUCAGUUUCUUGAGACUUGACUUUCUCAUCUGUAAAAUGGCAAUAACAAUCUCUGCUGGCCCAGCUUGAGAUGUCAUUGAGAAGAUGAAAUGAGAUGAUAGAUAUUGUGUGAGUCAAAGGCUGUGAAUGGCAGAGUCCCUGCUCAAUUAUGUUUAAUGAAGAAAUAGGAAAUUCAUAGGCUCAUAUCACUUGAUCAUAGGAGGGCUGAAGCCAGCGGAGCUAGGCACCUGCUUUUUGUCUCUCAUCUCUGUCUCUUUGUGCAUGACUUCAUCUUUGCCAUGAGAAAGGCUGGAGGCAUGCUCACAGGCAGCUCCACCUACCCGCUGUCCUCAUGUCUGAACAGGAAAGAAGCCUCCUCACCAGUCUCAGGAAGAAAAAUCCUAGAGAAGGCUCUGAUUAGACCAACAUGGUCACAUGGCCACCUGUGUAGCAGGAGAGAAAAGGAACACACUGUACGAGAGAGGAGAAGCAGUUCUCUAAGCAGAAGGGAGCUGUUUGUUACUAGAUGAAGGAGACAGAGCACUGGGCAGACAAGUGGAACAGAUGUCCCCUCCAGGGAAAGACCUUGAAUUUCUCCCUUGGACUCUGCUCCUCUCCUAGAGCCUCCUUCCAGUUUGGAAAAAGUUCUCCACUCCCAGUUUGGGUGUAAGGCCUUCACUUACACCCAAGUGUAACUGUGUAAGGCAAUCCUGUUUGAGGUCUGUCAAUCUGAGCUUGACCUUGGCUCUAUGAGCCCUUACUGGGUGGGGGUCUCAGGCAAGUCUGUGCCAUGCAUUUCCUCAUUGCACAUGGGGAUGACAAUGACUGUUUCCUGGGUAUGUGUGUGUUGGGUGGGGGGGGCGGUAGGUGUUGGGGGGCGGUAGGUGUGGGGAGGUGGUGGAGAUUCAGUGAGAUAAUUCUAGUGCAAUGCCUGCCUGGUACGAUGAUCAACGUGGGACCUACCCAUGACCACGUGAGGCUGUGAGCCACCCCUGAGCCCUUUUCCUUUUGGGGACCCACUGAGAGCCAUGCACAGAGGGAGAGGCUGCUGUCAUUUGUGGUAACCAGCAACAGUUGGUUGGAAAUUCCAGUCACUGGCCAAGGUCAGAUUGAAGGGAGCUCUUUAGAUUCCGGUUCUACCCCUUUUCCCUCACUAUAAGCCCUGUGUCUUCGGCUCUACUCUUUCUUCAUGCUGUGCCGAGAUCAUGCAAAAUUAUUAAACUAAAAUCAUUCAGCAGGAAAGGCAACACGAGCAAUCAUAGUUUGCUGCUGAGAAGCCAUGGCCUUCACUGAGGCUGGGCAGCAGGAGCUCAGUGUGGCUGGGAGGCUGGCUUGUUUCAGUGUUUUCCAGAGACAGAAAAUGCAAGCCCCUGCGGUCUCCUUUCCUCCAGCACAGCCUCGAGCCCUACAAGCUAAGUGGUCAGGUAGUCUGGUCUCACUUUGGCAGCAGGUCUUGCUGGGGGUCUUCAACCAGGAUGCCAGCACUCUCUGAGCCCCAGGUUCACCAGGCUGAAGUUGCUGGUAUGAGCAAAGGAGUUUGGAGCUCACACCCAUGGUUCCUG